GUUCACUUUGGCAGCACAUGCACUUGAACUGGAUUGGCACAGAAAAGGUUAGCAUGACCCCUGUGAAAGGAUGACAUGCAAAUCUGUGAAGCAUACAACACUAAA